rnacentral:pre_miRNA from 14 species
ACACUGCCACUUACGGUCAGUUUUGCAGGUUUGCAUUUCAGCGUAUAUAUGUAUAUAUGGCUGUGCAAAUCCAUGCAAAACUGAUUGUGAUCACGU